AACCUUCCCUUUGAAUUACAGAGAAACUUUCAGCUCAUGAGGGACCUAGACCAAAGAACAGAGGGUGGACAAACACAUUCGGCGGCUGGACACAGACCUGGCCCGUUUUGAGGCUGAUCUCAAGGAGAAACAGAUUGAGUCAAGUGACUAUGACAGCUCUUCCAGCAAAGGCAAAAAGAAAGGCCGGACUCAAAAGGAGAAGAAAGCUGCUCGUGCUCGUUCCAAAGGGAAAAACUCGGAUGAAGAAGCCCCCAAGACUGCCCAGAAGAAGUUAAAGCUCGUGCGCACGUCUCCUAUGGAGAGAUGAUUGGCUGUGACAACCCUGAUUGUUCCAUUGAGUGGUUCCAUUUUGCCUGUGUGGGGCUGACAACCAAGCCUCGGGGGAAAUGGUUUUGCCCACGCUGCUCCCAAGAACGGAAGAAGAAAUAGAUAAGGGCCUUGGAUUCCAACACAGUUUCUUCCACAUCCCCUGACUUGGGCUAGUGGGCAGAGGAAUGCCUGUGCUGGGGCCAGGGGUUCAGGGAGGAGUGGAUGGCACAGUGCUGUCAUCCCUUCUCCUCCCCUCUCCCCACUCCCGGUGCUGAGGCUGCAUCAGACCCUGGUAGGGAGGGGUGCCGCAGCCACUAACGGUAUGUGCUCUCCUUCAGCCCUCUCCCUUC
rnacentral:lncRNA from 1 species